GCUACAGGCUUAACACAUGCAAGUCGAGGGGCAGCAUGGUCUUAGCUUGCUAAGGCCGAUGGCGACCGGCGCACGGGUGAGUAACACGUAUCCAACCUGCCGUCUACUCUUGGACAGCCUUCUGAAAGGAAGAUUAAUACAAGAUGGCAUCAUGAGUCCGCAUGUUCACAUGAUUAAAGGUAUUCCGGUAGACGAUGGGGAUGCGUUCCAUUAGAUAGUAGGCGGGGUAACGGCCCACCUAGUCUUCGAUGGAUAGGGGUUCUGAGAGGAAGGUCCCCCACAUUGGAACUGAGACACGGUCCAAACUCCUACGGGAGGCAGCAGUGAGGAAUAUUGGUCAAUGGGCGAGAGCCUGAACCAGCCAAGUAGCGUGAAGGAUGACUGCCCUAUGGGUUGUAAACUUCUUUUAUAAAGGAAUAAAGUCGGGUAUGGAUACCCGUUUGCAUGUACUUUAUGAAUAAGGAUCGGCUAACUCCGUGCCAGCAGCCGCGGUAAUACGGAGGAUCCGAGCGUUAUCCGGAUUUAUUGGGUUUAAAGGGAGCGUAGAUGGAUGUUUAAGUCAGUUGUGAAAGUUUGCGGCUCAACCGUAAAAUUGCAGUUGAUACUGGAUAUCUUGAGUGCAGUUGAGGCAGGCGGAAUUCGUGGUGUAGCGGUGAAAUGCUUAGAUAUCACGAAGAACUCCGAUUGCGAAGGCAGCCUGCUAAGCUGCAACUGACAUUGAGGCUCGAAAGUGUGGGUAUCAAACAGGAUUAGGUACCCUGGUAGUCCACACGGUAAACGAUGAAUACUCGCUGUUUGCGAUAUACUGCAAGCGGCCAAGCGAAAGCGUUAAGUAUUCCACCUGGGGAGUACGCCGGCAACGGUGAAACUCAAAGGAAUUGACGGGGGCCCGCACAAGCGGAGGAACAUGUGGUUUAAUUCGAUGAUACGCGAGGAACCUUACCCGGGCUUAAAUUGCAGAUGAAUUACGGUGAAAGCCGUAAGCCGCAAGGCAUCUGUGAAGGUGCUGCAUGGUUGUCGUCAGCUCGUGCCGUGAGGUGUCGGCUUAAGUGCCAUAACGAGCGCAACCCUUGUUGUCAGUUACUAACAGGUUCCGCUGAGGACUCUGACAAGACUGCCAUCGUAAGAUGUGAGGAAGGUGGGGAUGACGUCAAAUCAGCACGGCCCUUACGUCCGGGGCUACACACGUGUUACAAUGGGGGGUACAGAGGGCCGCUACCACGCGAGUGGAUGCCAAUCCCCAAAACCUCUCUCAGUUCGGACUGGAGUCUGCAACCCGACUCCACGAAGCUGGAUUCGCUAGUAAUCGCGCAUCAGCCACGGCGCGGUGAAUACGUUCCCGGGCCUUGUACACACCGCCCGUCAAGCCAUGGGAGCCGGGGGUACCUGAAGUGCGUAACCGCGAGGAGCGCCCUAGGGUAAAACUGGUGACUGGGGCUAAGUCAUAAC
rnacentral:rRNA from 1 species